UACGUAGGGUCCGAGCGUUGUCCGGAAUUACUGGGCGUAAAGAGCUUGUAGGUGGUUUGUCGCGUUGUUCGUGAAAACUCACAGCUUAACUGUGGGCGUGCGGGCGAUACGGGCAGACUAGAGUACUGCAGGGGAGACUGGAAUUCCUGGUGUAGCGGUGGAAUGCGCAGAUAUCAGGAGGAACACCGGUGGCGAAGGCGGGUCUCUGGGCAGUAACUGACGCUGAGGAGCGAAAGCGUGGGGAGCGAACAGG
rnacentral:rRNA from 1 species